UGUAUCAACAGUGUUGUGGUGAUAGUGGUGGCAUUAGGACAGGUUGUAUCAACAGUGUUGUGGUGAUAGUGGUGGCGUUAGGACAGGUUGUAUCAACAGUGUUGUGGUGAUAGUGGUGGCGUUAGGACAGGUUGUAUCAACAGUGUUUUAGUGAUAGUGUGAUAGUGGUGGCAUUAGGACAGGUUGUAUCAACAGUGUUUUAGUGAUAGUGUGAUAGUGGUGGCAUUAGGACAGGUUGUAUCAACAGUGUUUUAGUGAUAGUGUGAUAGUGGUGGCAUUAGGACAGGUUGUAUCAACAGUGUUUUAGUGAUAGUGUGAUAGUGGUGGCAUUAGGACAGGUUGUUUCAACAGUGUUUUAGUGAUAGUGUGAUAGUGGUGGCGUUAGGACAGGCUGGGUCAACAGUGUUUUGGUGAUAGUGUGAUAGUGGUGGCAUUAGGACAGGUUGUAUCAACAGUGUUUUGGUGAUAGUGUGAUAGUGGUGGCGUUAGGACAGGUUGUAUCAACAGUGUUUUAGUGAUAGUGUGAUAGUGGUGGCAUUAGGACAGGUUGUAUCAACAGUGUUUUAGUGAUAGUGUGAUAGUGGUGGCUUUAGGACAGGUUGUAUCAACAGUGUUGUGGUGAUAGUGGUGGCAUUAGGACAGGUUGUAUCAACAGUGUUUUAGUGAUAGUGUGAUAGUGGUGGCGUUAGGACAGGUUGUAUCAACAGUGUUUUAGUGAUAGUGUGAUAGUGGUGGCAUUAGGACAGGUUGUAUCAACAGUGUUUUAGUGAUAGUGUGAUAGUGGUGGCGUUAGGACAGGUUGUAUCAACAGUGUUUUAGUGAUAGUGUGAUAGUGGUGGCAUUAGGACAGGUUGUAUCAACAGUGUUUUAGUGAUAGUGUGAUAGUGGUGGCAUUAGGACAGGUUGUAUCAACAGUGUUUUAGUGAUAGUGUGAUAGUGGUGGCGUUAGGACAGGUUGUAUCAACAGUGUUGUGGUGAUAGUGGUGGCAUUAGGACAGGUUGUAUCAACAGUGUUUUAGUGCUAGUGUGAUAGUGGUGGCAUUAGGACAGGUUGUAUCAACAGUGUUUUAGUGAUAGUGUGAUAGUGGUGGCAUUAGGACAGGUUGUAUCAACAGUGUUGUGGUGAUAGUGGUGGCGUUAGGACAGGUUGUAUCAACAGUGUUUUGGUG